rnacentral:rRNA from 1 species
GUGGGGAAUAUUGGACAAUGGGCGCAAGCCUGAUCCAGCCAUGCCGCGUGAGUGAUGAAGGCCUUAGGGUUGUAAAGCUCUUUCAGUGGGGACGAUAAUGACGGUACCCACAGAAGAAGCCCCGGCUAACUUCGUGCCAGCAGCCGCGGUAAUACGAAGGGGGCUAGCGUUGUUCGGAUUUACUGGGCGUAAAGCGCACGUAGGCGGAUCGUUAAGUCGGGGGUGAAAUCCUGGAGCUCAACUCCAGAACUGCCUUCGAUACUGGCGAUCUUGAGUCCGGAAGAGGUGAGUGGAACUCCUAGUGUAGAGGUGGAAUUCGUAGAUAUUAGGAAGAACACCAGUGGCGAAGGCGGCUCACUGGUCCGGUACUGACGCUGAGGCACGAAAGCGUGGGGAUCGAACAGGAUUAGAUACCCGGGUAGUCC